AUGGUGGUGCUGCACGUGAAAUCGUCGACCUCCUCCUCGUCCUCGUCCCCGUCCCCGCCCCCGCCGGAGGUAGAGGAGGAGAUUGAGUUCCUGUACGAGUGCGCCGCCACCGCCGCCGUCGCGGACGUGGCGGCCGCGCUCGCGGGCACCGCCGGCCUCCAGGCCCGCGUCCUCUCCCUCUGCCGCCGCCUCCGAGGCGAGUGA
rnacentral:rRNA from 1 species